CCAGAGAACUUAGCAGAGAUGCUUUGGUGCCUUCGGGAACUCUGAGACAGUGCUGCAUGGCUGUCGUCAGCUCGUGUUGUGAAAUGUUGGGUUAAGUCCCGCAACGAGCGCAACCCUUAUCCUUUGUUGCCAGCGGUCCGGCCGGGAACUCAAAGGAGACUGCCAGUGAUAAACUGGAGGAAGGUGGGGAUGACGUCAAGUCAUCAUGGCCCUUACGAGUAGGGCUACACACGUGCUACAAUGGCGCAUACAAAGAGAAGCGACCUCGCGAGAGCAAGCGGACCUCAUAAAGUGCGUCGUAGUCCGGAUUGGAGUCUGCAACUCGACUCCAUGAAGUCGGAAUCGCUAGUAAUCGUAGAUCAGAAUGCUACGGUGAAUACGUUCCCGGGCCUUGUACACACCGCCCGUCACACCAUGGGAGUGGGUUGCAAAAGAAGUAGGUAGCUUAACCUUCGGGAGGGCGCUUACCACUUUGUGAUUCAUGACUGGGGUGAAGUCGUAACAAGGUAAGCGUACGUGU
rnacentral:rRNA from 1 species